rnacentral:rRNA from 1 species
AGAGUUUGAUCCUGGCUCAGGACGAACGCUGGCGGCACGCCUAACACAUGCAAGUCGAACGGAGAAAAUGAUUUCGGUUAUUUUCUUAGUGGCGGACGGGUGAGUAACACGUGAGGAACCUGCCUCUGAGAGUGGGAUAGCUUCUGGAAAAGGAGCAAUCCGCUUUGAGAUGGCCUCGCGUCCGAUUAGCUAGUUGGUGAGGUAACGGCCCACCAAGGCGACGAUCGGUAGCCGGACUGAGAGGUUGAACGGCCACAUUGGGACUGAGACACGGCCCAGACUCCUACGGGAGGCAGCAGUGGGGAAUAUUGCACAAUGGGGGAAACCCUGAUGCAGCGACGCCGCGUGGAGGAAGAAGGUCUUCGGAUUAUAAACUCCUGUUGUUGAGGAAGAUAAUGACGGUACUCAACAAGGAAGUGACGGCUAACUACGUGCCAGCAGCCGCGGUAAAACGUAGGUCACAAGCGUUGUCCGGAAUUACUGGGUGUAAAGGGAGCGCAGGCGGGAAGACAAGUUGGAAGUGAAAUCCAUGGGCUCAACCCAUGAACUGCUUUCAAAACUGUUUUUCUUGAGUAGUGCAGAGGUAGGCGGAAUUCCCGGUGUAGCGGUGGAAUGCGUAGAUAUCGGGAGGAACACCAGUGGCGAAGGCGGCCUACUGGGCACCAACUGACGCUGAGGCUCGAAAGUGUGGGUAGCAAACAGGAUUAGAUACCCUGGUAGUCCACACUGUAAACGAUGAUUACUAGGUGUUGGAGGAUUGACCCCUUCAGUGCCGCAGUUAACACAAUAAGUAAUCCACCUGGGGAGUACGACCGCAAGGUUGAAACUCAAAGGGAUUGACGGGGGCCCGCACAAGCAGUGGAGUAUGUGGUUUAAUUCGACGCAACGCGAAGAACCUUACCAAGUCUUGACAUCCUGCGACGGACAUAGAAAUAUGUUUUUCCUUCGGGACGCAGAGACAGGUGGUGCAUGGUUGUCGUCAGCUCGUGUCGUGAGAUGUUGGGUUAAGUCCCGCAACGAGCGCAACCCUUAUGGUCAGUUACUACGCAAGAGGACUCUGGCCAGACUGCCGUUGACAAAACGGAGGAAGGUGGGGAUGACGUCAGAUCAUCAUGCCCUUUAUGACUUGGGCUACACACGUACUACAAUGGCGUUAAACAAAGAGAAGCAAGACCGCGAGGUGGAGCAAAACUCAGAAACAACGUCCCAGUUCGGACUGCAGGCUGCAACUCGCCUGCACGAAGUCGGAAUUGCUAGUAAUCGCAGAUCAGCAUGCUGCGGUGAAUACGUUCCCGGGCCUUGUACACACCGCCCGUCACACCAUGAGAGCCGGGGGGACCCGAAGUCGGUAGUCUAACCGCAAGGAGGACGCCGCCGAAGGUAAAGCUGGUGAUUGGGGUGAAGUCGUAACAAGGUA